GCUUCUCAAUUAAAUUGUAUGAGAUCCACAGCUCCUCUAGUGUAUCUCCAACUGCCUCCUGGAAAAUGAUAACACCUCUCAGAAAAGUGAGAGUUCCUAAUUCUGGAUGACAAAGCUUCAAGGAAAGAAAAUCCCAAGUUUUGAAAUAAAUCUCUCAGCUUCUUUAGAAAAAUAAAUCAAGACACUAGCAAGAUAUACUGAACAUCUGAGCAGAGCAGAGUUCUACUCAAGGCAUAUGGAGAGAAAGGAGCUAUUUUAGCUGCAUGUGGAGAGUUCUGUAGUGCUAGAUGACUGCAGUUCAUCAACCGUUUUAGAGGGUUUAGUAUGUAAUAUAAGGGAUUGCACAGUUUCAGACAAGUGCAUGCUUAUAUCUGCAGGUUUCAAAUUUCAUUUUCUGUCCUCAGCAAUCCUCCAGCAAGAGGAGAAAGAGAGGUUACUUACCAUAACUGUUGUUCCUUCAGAGUCACCUCUGUGCAUUCACACCUGUGGGAUACAGCAGCCCUGGUGUUGAGUGGAGGAACUGCCUUGAAAAGCCAUAUCCUGCAAGCAGGAAUGCACAGAGGCUCUUGAAGAACAAACUUGUUCCUUUAUUUCUUUGGUUUUAAUUAUACAGACAUCUUAGAACAGAGGUAAUAAAAUAUGCUUCCUCUCAUCUAGAUCUUUGCUUUGUUAUCUAUAUUUCUACCCUUGCCUCUCUGCCACAUGCCUUUUAUCCCAUUGUUCAGCGUGCCAAUCACCCCUGUGAUGGGUAGAGUCACAAUGUGAUUUACAGGCAGGCCAAUGUGUGCAGUGAUUGACCACAAUAUCAAAAGCACCUUCUGGCAGGAGAUGAGAUUCAUAUAAGCAAAGGGAGCAGAAGUUAUAAUUCAUAUAAUGCCACUGGAGUUUAUGGUGCUUUACACAUAGAUAGAAAAUGCAGACUCUCUACCAAUAGAUCUUACAAUCUAAGGGCCUGCUCUUGUAUGUGGAAUCUCAUGUUAUGGGAGUCGUGUGUAGAGGGCCUUACAAGAUCAUAUCCCAGGUUAGAAAAAUAGCAAAAGCAACAGCAAAAGGGUCUGGGAAAGUUGGCUGAUUGAGACAAUAUAGGUAGCAGAUAAUGCAUAUUUAAAAUGAAAAAUGUUCCUCUUAAGCUUAUUGGUGGAUUUAAAUGUUUUAUUUGGUGGAUUAGCAUUUAAAGUCUGUAAAGAGGGAGGGCAUUUUAAGGAGAGAUUUCAAUGAAGAGAGGGUGGUUGACUGGCACAAGGGAAAUGAGAGAUUACUCCACGCAUUAUGAGCAACAUGUAGUAAGUAAAUAAAACAAAAUAAAUGGUUAGGCGCUAAGGUUGAAUUAUGUGAAGAGAGAUGCAAGGGUAGGGAAAUUACUCUUCCCCUAUGCCUUGAUGCAAGAAUUACGUAGCACUUCAUUGCUCAGUUUAAUAAAUGUAAACUACAAAAAGGGACAUACCAGCCCAUUCAGAUUCUUUAUGUUGUUUCUCCCCAAUGAAAGAAUCCGCAAGUUUUCUGCAAUGGAGGGAGAAGAGCUUCUUAUUAACAAAUGACUGGUGCUUAAAAUAUAAAGAGCUGUUGGAAAUCUGACAACAUUCUGUAUACCACAGACAAGAGAGGUUUGUAUUCUGAACAGGCUAUAUUCAGGAAGAAUGACAUGUCAGAAGCAAACUACAUACUGUUCUAGAUAUAGAUUGUAAUGAAUGGGUGGAGUGGAUGGCUCAAGUAUGGGUAUUAGAAAGUCUCAUCUGUAGGCUGCCUGUUUACAUCCAGUCCAGGAUUAAACAAAACAGGCUGCCAUUCUGGUGUGCUAGUGCUCAUGUGUGUGAAGCAAGAUUAAAUUUUUGGUCCUGAUCUUACUUCCCAGGCCAGGAGGGAUUGGGACCACUACUAAGGAGGCAGACUCAGUUCCUGAAUAGGAGGCAAUACCUGGUGUCACUUUAUAACAACUCGUGUCUGAUUAGAAAGAGGUCAACAAUUUUGGCCUGUGUGAUUCUAGUAGUAAUACAGCCACUCUGAUGAGAUUUAUUUUCAAAUUGCCUAUUCUUGUUCAAUCACGAAUUGUUCUUGUGAUGUGCCAGAACACCUGAAGCUAUCAAAAACAAAGAGUCUUUUUCAUGAAACUUCAUUUCCAGCUGUUCUUCCAGAUAUGCACAAAAACAUUCUAUAGUGUCUAAUUAGGUUAACCUCUAAUCAAUGGUUUCCACAGCUAUUUCAAGCCCUUUCUCACGGUGUGCAUUUGAACUAGGCAUUAAUUACCUAAUGAUCUUGUUUUUCUCCUGUUUGCACAGUGAUGAGAAAUACGGUAUGUACUAUUUAAUGAUGAGGCAAAUAAAUAUUCCAUUCAUGUACCAAUAGCUGCUGCAGAGAAAGCACAUCAGCUGUUUAGAGUGGUUGGGAUGGGCUUUGGGUUGGUCAACAGUGACCUGUCCUGGCCAGCCACAUCUGUAAGUAAAGGAAGGUUGUGAUGACAGAAGGCCUAACAAGAGGUGGAAGAGAAGGGGAAAUAGAUGGGCUUUCAUGAAGAAAUUCAGGUGCAACUGGAAUUCUUAAUGAAAUCCCAGAAUCUGUACAAGUCCUGGACAUAUUACUUUCUGUGAGAAGAAUACCAUAGAAUGUCAAAAGAUGAUUAGGUGAUGUCUUUGGAAGGGAAAAAGUAAAUGCCACUCAUAAUACAGCAAAUCUGAAGCCUAUUGGAACCAUGUUACCUUGAAUUUCCCAAACUCCCCAUCCCAUGGAAAAAGACUUGAUCUAGCCAAAUUAUCCUCAUCUUCUCUGAAACCAUGAUGAGAAACUAUGGGUAUGUUUUCCAAAAGCACUUAAUAUUGAACUUUUGAGUAUCUGUUCAGUUAUUAUAAACCUUAAAAUAUAAAAUUAGUGAACUAAUGUUACUCGAAAUGACGUCCAACUGGGAAAAAUAUUACUCUGUAAAUAUUCUUGUACUCAAAAAUCCCAAACCUUGCAGGAAGCAAGAUUUUCCCCAAUGUAAUAUUGACAUUAAGUAAAACAAAAUUAAAUGAUUCAACUUGGCCUAAGCCUCAUCCCUCAAAGGGAGUUAGGCACCUAAGUCCAGGCUGGAGGGAGGCACCUCCCCACCACUCAGGAUGUACAAUCCUGAACUCUCCCAUAGAGUUAGGUGUCUCAGCCAGGUCAGCACUUUCUUAAGGAAAAUGGAGACAACAGUGCCUCCCUAUAGCCAAUGUCCCAUUGGUUAAAGCACUCAACCAGGAUGUGGGAAGAUGUGGGUUCAAAUUCCCAUUUUGCCUGAUGUGAAAUGGGGACUGGAACCAAGGUCUCCCACCUUCCUGGUGAGUCCCCUUUAUUUAUUUAUUUUAUUUAGAAGCGGGGAAAUGAAAGGUGAUAUCAGAACAGGAUGUCAAUAGUUGGCCAUGCGUCAUAAACUAUAGAACAUAUCUAAUCCAAGCAGCUAGAAUAUAAGCACAAUCAGUCAUUGACAUAUCACUUACUUAGGCCGUUCAGGUUGGCGAUUUUUUCAAUGCAGUUUGUAGACAGAGACAAUUUCCUUUAAAAGCAAGAAUAAUUAACAGCUUAUAUUAACAGAGCAACAGGAAUCACUGGAUCAGAAGAAGGCCCUCUUACAAAUAACACUUUGUUAGAAUGAAAUCACAUUUUACUCUUCUCUUAUUAUGUAGUAAACCACUGGAUACAUGCACAAUCCUGUUCUCCUCAAAUCAUCCAUCUCUCUAAGAUUUAAAUUUCACUUUUUUGGGAUUCCACCACCAAUUUUAUACCAUAUGUGUGGCAUCCUCCUUUGUGUGCCUGACUCAAACGAAAGAUAGGUUAUAAUAUUUCCCAAACUUUUCUUUCUGACGCGACCAAUUAGCUCUAUUUUGUGCUCCUCCUUCCUCAUUCAUAUGGAGCCAAAUGUUUCUCUUGGACAUAUUUUGGUCAAGAGCAAUGCCAGGAGCAGCAGCACUAUGAACUGUCAUGGAUGCUCUAGGCCUUUAUACUAGGGUUCCUACUCUUUUGGAGAACCAGGACCUCAGCACAAGUCAGUCAUUAAGCUGUUAAGAAGGUAAUACUGCAGCAAAUGAAUUUCGGUACUAUUACCAUAUGAGAUUGAAUCUCAAGACUUUUAUUUCUGAACAGCAGUUCCAAGAGAAAGCCUGAGCAUCUGGAUGUGGUGGUGUAGACUUUGGCUCACAAUUUCACACAAAAAGGUUAAGCAGCCACAACAGUUCAGGAGUCUUCAAAGGGACCACAUGAUUGUCCACGGCCUGAUGGACUCCAGACAUGGGACAGAAAUUAUUCACUUCGAUGCCGUCUACCAGCCAUUCAAUGGACUGGUAUUAAUGCUGAGUUUGCUUUAAUGUCUGAGAGAACUAGGUUCUGCCUUCUCAAGUAAGUGGGUAUGAUAUUACUAAGCAGAAGAACUGAUGUAUGUUUCAGUGGGAGAAAGAACAGAGCUUAGGAGAAAGGAGCGAUGUUGGACUGAAGAGAUAUUAUGCUCACAUCUAGAGGUAGUAGAGGUAGAGGAGAGAAAACCUAGACUUCAAAAAACCAGAAGUGAUGACUAAAAUUGAGUGUUUCCAGGUUUGUUUGUUUGUUUAACAGAACUUACUCGCAGUUAACAAGUGUGGACAGAGAUGCAUCCAUCUUCUCUACAGGAGGAAUCUGGGCAUAUAGUUUCACCUCCUUGGCCUCCGAUGCCUUCUGGCCAUUUUUUUCUUCCUGAGGAAAACAAAGAAUGAAAAGAAAGGGCAAAAAAAUGAGACACUGAUUGGAAUCUGCAGUUGUUAAAAAAAUUAUUCCUAAUCUUCAAGAAAACAGAAGAAAAAGGGUUUAAAAUCUUGUUUGUAUUUCCUGGUGUUGUGGUUCAUCUGAAUUACAUCUCACUUCCAGCAACCCAGACCCUCACUCAACUGUGUAAUUAACAGGGAUGAUAACAGACACACACACAAAAACCCUUUAAUUUAAAGAAAAAGAAGAAAGAGAAGACUGGCUUAUUUCCAGGAUAUAAAAAUGCUUAUCAAUGCAUGUAUUUUUAAAAAAAUUUACAGGGAGGAUCCCUGGAUCAGAUUCAGGAUUUCAAGUCUCCAGCAAACUCAGUUGUUUCCCUUAGCAUCUAUUCUUCCUCUCUGCCCUUUACACCUACUCAUCUCGGUCUGAAUUAGGGGCCAGACACAGCAAAAAUAUAUACCUAACAGUAGCGCUAGGGUUGUAGAAAACCUACUUCCCACUACAUCCCUAAAGGUCAGUUUAAGGGGAACUCAGACUUAAACUGUAUUAUUAAUCUGCGCUCCUCAUAGUUCUGA